CAGAAAGUCCAUGGUAGGAAGACAUUACAAAUAUUGGUGACAAAAGGCACAAAAAAUUCUGCUAUCUUUUCAAGUGUGAAAAUGGGACUCAAGAAGUGCUGCUAUCUAUUUCAUGGAGGAAUGUUGGGUGGUUAAUUUCUUUCAUAUAUAUUGACCUCAGUUUUUUGGCUGCCAGUAGUUGAACAUUAGGUAGUGGAUUCUGCAUUGAUACUCUGCCUUCCUUGUGAUACAAUCAGACAUGUACCACAUUCUUUUGAGAAUGUUGACUGGAUGAACACUCAGAUAGAGGCCAUGGUUUGCAAGAAGAUGAUAUAUUAGAUAUACUGGUUCUGUCUGGGAAAUCAGCAUCAGUCACAGAGUUCGCAUGAGAUUUUACUGCCUGUAGCUGAGACCAUGCUUCAUUGGCUCUGUGGAAGGUGAUCCAUUAGAUCUGGAAGGUUUGCAAAAGGUUGUUUUAGCAAAUUGUGCAACCAGCGCUAUAGCUUUCAACUGAGUAUUAUUUUUAAUGAGACAAAUGCUGAUUCCGAUUUCUUACACUACAGUGCAGCUUCAGAGGGAUGCCAGAACAUAAUGUUCCUUGCAGUUUGGCAAAUGGGUACGACUAAGGGACUCAGUCUUUUCCAGACCUGAAUGACCCUAAUUCUUGUUUACUGAAAUUCUUGUAUAUUGCUAAGAAUCAUGUUUUGGCGUACUUCAAUACCUCAAACGAGGUGGAUAAAUGGACAUGGAGUAUAUCACCAAGUGCACUUGUCAUGCUCUAUUAUGCCCCUUGCUUGGUGAUCAACAAAGGGGACUGAUGUGCACUCCGGCUGCAAUUGCUGUGGAGAUCUGAGGGUUUCUAAAUUGCUACUUGAAAUCAGAAGUUGACAGCCUGUGGCCAGUUAGGUUUUGGUGCCACUAUCUGAUUGAUAAGACACUUGAUUGCUUCUGAGGUGAUUUAGGAGGAUGGCAAUAGGUCUUCAUGGUAAUCAAAUAAUAUGCCCCCAUAUUAUGUUAUCCUGUCUUAUGGUUGAUGUUAGAGGCAUUAGUUAUAUUGGACAUCCUUUUUAUCUCCCUUUGAUAUUGGAAUUGUGGAGUUGGUUCAGAAUCCUAGCCCUUUUGGCUGCAAGAAGUGAGCAAGUAAAAAGAUCACAAAUUGCUGUAUGCUUAUGACUCAGCGUGUUGUUUAUGAUGAUAUUCUGGAAUGCAUCUUUCCUUCAGGCAGGAGGAUUUUGCCUUGCAGGAUUGUUGCUGCUAUUAAACUGAAACAUCUUGCAGAAUCAAGGGUAAAUUGAUUGCAGACAGUCCGGUGAUUAGCUCUGUAAUCUUUGUUGAGCCUGAUCCCACCAAGCCUUCCUCAGUAUGGAAUUAUGAGAAUGACCAGGUUUUUGGCAUGAGGCUGCGAGACCAAAGUCAGCCAGGUCAAGAAGGGUUUGUAUUGCACCCAGUGCCCUGACCUUGGUCAGACCAAGUGAGGCUCAUGGCUAGCACAUUGUUCGACUUGCAUUGUCACGCACUGAAGUGAACAACUUUGAUCCUGACAUCCAGUACUGCUUGGAGUCUUUUGGCCAUAGGCCAGGCUGUCUGCUGUUGUGUUCUCCAGGAUGGGGACCUCAUCUUUUCUUGGAGAAAGCAUGGAUUGGAUCUGGGUUUCAGUUUGAAUCAGUUCAGAAGUCUCGGGCUUGUGCCCUGUCAGGUUUAAUUUUUUCAGGCUGAACCCAAGCUACUUUUAAAUUACGCCUGGAGUUCUUUCCCCAUUAUGUCAUGGGUGCGCAUAACCAAUUAUGAUUGUAAACUAUAUCUUCUUUUAUGGAUCCAAAUCCACGUAACAUGCCUUGUGGCUCUAGUGCCCUGAUCGAUCAAUUUGUAGGGACGCAGGUCAUUGAAUUGUUUCAAUAACCUUAGUUCAUGUGGGACUCGAUGCAACCUGCAUACUAUCUGCGGAUUGGUGCUGCCCUGGAGUUGAGAGCACAGCAAAUUGACAUAUCUGGCACAUUGUUGGCUGUUGUUUUCUUGCUAAAUAAAUCUGAAAGCCAGGCCACAAUUGCUGACUGAUUGCUUCCAAAUUGUGUGUGUACAAAUUGCAUUUGCAUCCAGAAUACAAAUUCCAUUCUACUUGUUGGAUGUUGCCA